rnacentral:rRNA from 1 species
UAGGGAAUCUUCGGCAAUGGACUAAAGUCUGACCGAGCAACGCCGCGUGAGUGAAGAAGGUUUUCGGAUCGUAAAACUCUGUUGUUAGAGAAGAACAAGGACGUUAGUAACUGAACGUCCCCUGACGGUAUCUAACCAGAAAGCCACGGCUAACUACGUGCCAGCAGCCGCGGUAAUACGUAGGUGGCAAGCGUUGUCCGGAUUUAUUGGGCGUAAAGCGAGCGCAGGCGGUUUCUUAAGUCUGAUGUGAAAGCCCCCGGCUCAACCGGGGAGGGUCAUUGGAAACUGGGAGACUUGAGUGCAGAAGAGGAGAGUGGAAUUCCAUGUGUAGCGGUGAAAUGCGUAGAUAUAUGGAGGAACACCAGUGGCGAAGGCGGCUCUCUGGUCUGUAACUGACGCUGAGGCUCGAAAGCGUGGGGAGCAAACAGG